AUGAACAUCGCCCUCUUGACCCGCUGGCUCUGGCGCAUCGCCAAUGGGGACGGUGGCCUCUGGCUUACUAUCAUCCAGAACAAGUACCUGCGUGGACAGCCACUGGCGUUCUGCCAACGCUCGGGCGGUUCCCAGUUUUGGCAGGCCGUCGUCCGGCUGCUUCCGGUCUUACGUAUAGGCACUUACAUCUCUGUGCGCUCUGGAGCUUCGACCUUGUUCUGGCUGGACAGGUGGCUCGGAGGCUCCCCUCUAGCCGCCCGGUUCCCCAUCCUCUUCGACAUUGUAGUUGACCCUCGGGUCUCAGUCGAGGCGGCCCUUAUUGACUUAGGGCGCCUCGCGUUCCGCCGCCCUUUUGGCCCCGCUGAGGUGGCUACCUGGGAUGUCCUCCUCCAGGACAUCGCCCUGCUACCUAUGGACGUGGCAGAUUCUCUGGACUCCAUCUCCUGGCGCCUAGACCCCUCCGGCCGCUUCUCCACCAAAUCCCUCUACGCGGCCAUUGCCCCUUCGUCAGCCCCGGAGCCCUUUGGUCUUAUCUGGGACAUCCGCCUCCCACUUAAGAUUCGGAUCUUUCUUUGGCAAUGGAUCCGCGGCCGCCUCCCGACCGGCGUUGAGGUUCUUAAGCGCCAUGGUCCUGGCGAUGGAAUGUGCCCCCUGUGUGGCACGGUAGAGGACGCUAAUCACAUCUUCUUCCUGUGCUACAUGGUACAGUUCCUUUGGUCUUGUUUCCGCGAAACGGUUGGGGGACAGUGGUGCAACACCAACUUCCCUGACCUGCUUGCGGAAAUUCAAGCCUCCCCCCUCGCUACAGACAUAUUAGAUGGCUGUGUGUCGGGGUUCUAG
rnacentral:rRNA from 1 species